UACGUAGGGUCCGAGCGUUGUCCGGAUUUACUGGGCGUAAAGAGCGCGCAGGCGGUCGUUCAAGUCGAGUGUGAAAGCCCCCGGCUCAACUGGGGAGGGUCACUCGAUACUGAUCGACUCGAAGGCAGGAGAGGGAAGCGGAAUUCCCGGUGUAGUGGUGAAAUGCGUAGAUAUCGGGAGGAACACCAGUGGCGAAGGCGGCUUUCUGGCCUGUUCUUGACGCUGAGGCGCAAAAGCUAGGGUAGCAAACGGG
rnacentral:rRNA from 1 species